ensembl:lincRNA linc-50 ncRNA
UGAGAGAGAGAGGGCAGUCUGAGUCAUUGGAAGACGUCGCCAGACAUCUGAUUCUGCUGCAUUUGUGUUUUGUUGAAUCUGAAUUUUUGAUUCUGAAUACAAUAUGAUUUUUGAAGCUCAGACGGAGCACAAUGUGAUCAUUUGAUAUUUUAUGAGAUUUUUUAUUCUGAAUAAAGUUUUGGCACUUUUCAGUAGCUUAUGGAAACUGGGAAAUUGCAAACC